rnacentral:misc_RNA from 1 species
UUUCCGUAGGUGAACCUGCGGAAGGAUCAUUAUUGUAUAACCGAGGUGCGAGGGCUGUCGCUGACCCGAAAGGUCGUGCACGCCCGAGUGCCCUCACACACAUCCAUCUCACCCCUAUGUGCACCACCGCGUGGGUCCCCCUUUGGCUUGUUCGGAGGGGGGCUUACGUUUUCACACAAACUUUGUAUGCAGUGUAGAAUGUAUUUUUUGUUUUUGCGAUCACGCAAUCAAUACAACUUUCAACAAUGGAUCUCUUGGCUCUCACAUCGAUGAGAACGCAGC